rnacentral:rRNA from 1 species
CAGCCGCCGCGGGAAUACAGAGGUCUCAAGCGUUGUUCGGAUUCAUUGGGCGUAAAGGGUGCGUAGGUGGCGCCAUAAGUCAGGUGUGAGAUCUCGGGGCUCAACCCCGAAACUGCACUUGAUACUGUGGUGCUCGAGUACUGGAGAGGAGAUUGGAAUUUACGGUGUAGCAGUGAAAUGCGUAGAUAUCGUAAGGAAGACCAGUGGCGAAGGCGAAUCUCUGGACAGUUACUGACACUGAGGCACGAAGGCCAGGGGAGCAAACGGGAUUAGAUACCCGAGUAGUCCCUGUCUCUUAUAC